rnacentral:tRNA from 1 species
CGCGGGGUAAUUCAGUGGUCAGAAAUUCGCUCUCAUAAGGCGAAAGUCGCGGGUUCAAAUCCCGCCCCCGCUA